rnacentral:rRNA from 1 species
GUGGGGAAUAUUCCGCAAUGGACGAAAGUCUGACGGAGCAACGCCGCGUGAGUGAUGAAGGUUUUCGGACUGUAAAGCUCUGUUGUUUAGGACGAAAGUGCCUGUUGCGAACAGUUACAGGUAUUGACGGUACUAAACGAGGAAGCCACGGCUAACUACGUGCCAGCAGCCGCGGUAAUACGUAGGUGGCAAGCGUUGUCCGGAAUUAUUGGGCGUAAAGAGCAUGUAGGCGGAGAUUUAAGUCUGUUGUGAAAAUGCGGGGCUCAACACCGUAUUGCGAUGGAAACUGAAUUUCUUGAGUGCAGGAGAGGAAAGAGGAAUUCCCAGUGUAGCGGUGAAAUGCGUAGAUAUUGGGAGGAACACCAGUGGCGAAGGCGACUUACUGGACUGUAACUGACGCUGAGGCGCGAAAGUGUGGGGAGCAAACAGGAUUAGAAACCCGGGUAGUCC